rnacentral:rRNA from 1 species
CCUACGGGUGGCAGCAGUAGGGAAUCUUCCGCAAUGGACGAAAGUCUGACGGAGCAACGCCGCGUAAGUGAUGAAGGCUUUCGGGUCGUAAAACUCUGUUGUUAGGGAAGAACAAGUGCUAGUUGAAUAAGCUGACACCUUGACGGUACCUAACCAGAAAGCCACGGCUAACUACGUGCCAGCAGCCGCGGUAAUACGUAGGUGGCAAGCGUUAUCCGGAAUUAUUGGGCGUAAAGCGCGCGCGGGUGGUUUCUUAAGUCUGAUGUGAAAGCCCACGGCUCAAUCGUGCAGGGUCAUUGGAAACUGGGAGACUUGAGUGCAGAAGAGGAAAGUGGAAUUCCAUGUGUAGCGGUGAAAUGCGUAGAGAUAUGGAGGAACACCAGUGGCGAAGGCGACUUUCUGGUCUGUAACUGACACUGAGGCGCGAAAGCGUGGGGAGCAAACAGGAUUAGAUACCCCAGUAGUC